ensembl:lncRNA
GAGCUAUCUUUCAUCUCUAUGUUUCUCUUUGGUAACUGACUGAUCCCCUAGAAAAGAAUGGUAUAGUUGUGAGUGUAACAAGACAAAGAAUCAAGUGGGACUUUGUGAUGUCAGAGGCUUCCCAGAUUCUCUUUCUGAGACAGAAAAACCCAGUCUUGCCCUGGUUGUCUAAGGAAGCAUAUCUGUUUCCUUUACAUACCAAGAUGUUGUCCUCUCAGGAGAGAGUACUGUUUUUCUGAAACGACUUUUAUUUUUAUUGGAGAUUCAGUGCCAUAGUUUUCCACUGUGUGGGAAGCUUACGACCACCAGGACCACAAGCUGGAACUGAAAAGUCAAGUUUCCUGAUUCAGGAGCAUUUAAAGAUCUUUAUUUUUUAUCUUCUCCUGUUUUUAUUGGAAAUCCUUCAGUGGAGGAAUGGCGAGAAAAUACCGGCUAUUUCCAGAAGCAUCCCUGGUCCAGCUGCCUCCAAAAGGUUUUUGUCAACAGUCCCCGUUUGUGCAGUUACCAUGUCCUCCUCAUAGGGUAGCUCCAUCAUGGCAUCUAGACCGCCAGUUCAGGAUCAAUUCAUCAGUCAUACCUUGUCAGAGAGCUUCAUCUGCACAGCUACCCUGCCCCAGUGGUCAUCCCCACCAUCCCCACCGUCCCUACCAGGAUGACCUUUUCCACUGUGACCAUCUUUACCGUCGAUCAACAGCAAUACCAUUAUCUUAUCUGAAGAAUAUGUCAUCUUCAAGCCCUAAACUACAUGGUAGUGCCCCUGUCUUCCCAGAUUUCAAGGCAAAGUCAGAGCCCCCCCGGGUAAAAUCAGAUUUUUAA